CUAUAAUAACUGGAUAGCGCAUCUCUAUUAUCAAAAGUGAAGCCAAUUUUUUGCACGGCCGCCAUAUUGGAAAGCCCCAGAAUACCGAAAAUACAGUGAUUGCGCUUGAAGAUGUACCUUUUUACUUCGUUUAUAUCUACUCGACCAAGUCACAUAUUUCAAUGAUAUUAUUAUAUUUAAAAUGUUUGAAGGUGUAAAAAUUAUAAAAGGGAAUCAAAAACACGCAAAACAUUAACGACAAAGAGAAAUAUCGCUAUAAAGAAAUAAUAAAAUUUGUAUUGCUUUCUAUGAACUUGUUAAAUUUAUUGAAUUUAUGAUAUUCUAAAUAAAACUUUUCUGAAAGACAAAUUGAUAUUUAA